UACAUGGCUGAAUGGAGCCUUUUCUCCAUAUCAUAACUGAAAAUUAUAAAUGAUGAUUUCUCUCAUUGUACAUGACUGUCGUUUGGAUAUAGGAUUGAAAUUUCCAAACAAUAUUAAAACACGCAGAAUACGUAAUUCCUUAGAAAAGCAACAAAUCUGCAGAUAAAUGUUUGUAAUUUACAGAAAUGGGUUAAAAGUAGAAAAUCCAAUGAAGUAACAAUUAGUAUGUGUUAUGCCGGUGUACAACAUGAACGCAAAGCAACAGUAUGGCCUGUGCCAGGUUUGUUGCCAUCAUUUUUAACUGAUGCCUAAAUCAGGUGUUUGGCUCCUUGAAUAUAUACAUUAGGGACCGACUACCUGGGAACUGAACUCCUCAACAAAAUUAUCCCAGCUUAACAUCUUAAUUGAAAGAUGGCACCUUUGACAGUGCACAACUCUUUCAAUAUUUUACGGAACUUCAGCCUAAAAUAUGUACAAACGUCUUUGGAGUUGUCAAAGGUCACGUUAACUCUGUUUUCUCUCCACAGGGAAACCCGAGCUGUUGAGUAUUUCCUGUUUUUAUUUUGAUUUCUCAAAUGCAUAACUUUCUGACCCAGAAGCUAAUGUGAGAGCUUCAGUGUGUUGAGAAGAGCACCCAACUUUGUCUAAUCAUCUUCAACUCGAUUUCUUGGCUUCCCAACACAGAGCAGACAUCUACAGCAGAAUGGACCAGGCAGGUGGUGGGUUGCCCAACAUCAGGCUCCUCACCCCCCUACAAGGAGAGAAUCCUAGCCCUGGCAAGAGAACACUGGGACUGUUCUUGCAGGGAUGCAGAGACAUCCAUGUCUCACCAACUGAGCAACUUGCAGCUGCUGAGCAAGAAACUUUCCACAUUCUCAGCAAAUGAAUAAAAGAUGCAGUGGGUUGCUCCUGACGACGAGAUGGGCCUCAGCAGAAUUCUUGUGUGAUUCUGCCACAAAUCACACUACAGACCUCAUCACUCAGGCCCCUAUAAGAUUCUGCUCAGUGAUCAUCAGGCUCAAAUGGACAUUUUCCCACAUAAAUACAGCUGGCAAGCAGAUACAAACCAACAGACUCUCCAGAGUGAAUACAACAAAGUCCAAAAGCAAGAAAACAUGUGCAGAUCUAAUUAUCCUGAAGCUCAGUCUCUCACUUCACCAGGGAAUUGCAUGUUUGCUCUGGCAAGCUGAAAUCCUCAAUGUAACCUCAAUUAUUUCUAGGUGGAAACUACAUCCUUAUGUCCCAGCAACUGUAAACAUUUGUAACAAAGUUGGUGUAAUAUCCAGUAAGCAGACAUUAUUCCUUUUGUCGUUGCACCAAGUGCUGUUGGCUAAACUACAAUGACUGCAAGUUCCAACCUAAUUACACAACAUAUUUUCUAGAUUAGAAUUGCAUGUCUUUUAUUUAUGCAGUUUGCUUCAAAUACGCCUACACUUUUGUACUACUGCGUCAAAGUUUCAACCAGAAUCGAAUUGAUUGGUCAUGAGACAUACUUUCAGGGUUAGUUAGAAUGUUCAUAAUUUGGGUUUGGAAUAAAAGGUAAUGCUGGACCUUUAUAUUUAUGGUACAAGUAAAUUUCACUAAAUAAGUAAGUUUAUGAAUUUUUAGAAAUAUAUCCUGCAAUAUUUGACACUGUUAGUCAGUGACCGUGUGUUGCAAUCAAUACUGCUUUAGGACACUACAGGAGUUAGGCAACACACAUUACAUUAUUCAAGGUCAUUUAUUUACAAUAAUCUCAUAC